UACGUAGGGGGCAAGCGUUGUCCGGAAUUAUUGGGCGUAAAGAGCGUGUAGGCGGUUCGAUAAGUUUGCUGUAAAAGUCGGGGGCUCAACCCCCGAAAGCCGGUGAAUACUGUCGGACUAGAGUGCGGAAGAGGCGAGUGGAAUUCCUGGUGUAGCGGUGAAAUGCGCAGAUAUCAGGAGGAACACCAAUUGCGAAGGCAGCUCGCUGGUACGUAACUGACGCUGAGACGCGAAAGCGUGGGGAGCAAACAGG
rnacentral:rRNA from 1 species